rnacentral:rRNA from 1 species
UACGGGAGGCAGCAGUAGGGGAUCUUCCGCAAUGGACGAAAGUCUGACGGAGCGACGCCGCGUGAGUGAUGAAGGUUUUCGGAUCGUAAAGCUCUGUUGUUAGGGAAGAACAAGUGCGAGAGUAACUGCUCGCACCUUGACGGUACCUAACCAGAAAGCCACGGCUAACUACGUGCCAGCAGCCGCGGUAAUAAUCGUCG